CUGCUCCACUGGAGUUUCUCACGUGAGCCCAGGUUAUGGCUCCUGCGGGCUGAGAUCUGCGUUCUCUGCCCAGUGCUCCAUGUCCAUCUUCUGGUCAGAAGGAAAGAGGAAGGCCCUAGGGACCCAGUGAGCUGGUCAGUGACAGGGACAGGCUGCUUGCCCAGGUACCACACCGUUGUUCACCAGCAGGAGCAUCACAAGGGCAGGCUCUGAGCCUAUGGGGGCAGCUCCAAAGUUGAAAUCCAGCAGGAGAGCUCUUUUUGGAGAAAGAAUACUGGGUGUAAGGAAUGCCUUUGGAUUUUCUCUGAUCUUUUACGCAUGGGAUACAUGGAGGAUCUGUAUUCAUUCAGUGUGUCCAGGGAAAGAAGCCUCCAGAGAAGCAGCCUGCUGAUGCCGCUAGCACUCCCUGCUGAGCAGGCAUCAGCGAUGCGGAACAUUGGGUGGGCGCCUGUUGC